CUGUGUUUCACUAAUAUUGUUCCGCCGUUUACUGUUAGCAACUAGCUAGCAUAAUCACUACAAUAUCUCUGGGGAUUUAUUUAAGACUUUAGCUCAAUGAAAACACCGCCGGUGAAACGCAGUUACUCUAAACUUCCUGUGUGGAUUGUAGAAGAUCAUCAUGAGGUUGUGCAGCACAUUUACCGCGCCAUCGGCUCUCGGCACAUCCCGAUGAAGGACAUUAAGAUGGUUCACUUGGACUCGCACCCCGACCUGCUCAUCCCCGUCAGCAUGGCUGCACACGCCGUGUUUGAUAAAGAGACUCUGUUCAGUGAGCUGAGCAUCGAGAACUGGAUCAUGCCGAUGGUGUACGCCGGACACGUGUCCCACGUCGCCUGGCUUCAUCCGUACUGGGCUCAGCAGAUCCGAGAGGGCGAGCAUAAGAUGUGUGUGGGGAGGGACACGUCCACAAACACUAUCAGAGUCACGGGCACAGACGAUUACUUCCUGAGCGACGCUCUUUACGUUCCUGCUGAGCAGCUCGAAGACGGGAAGCCCUUCCAUCUCAGCGUCAUCCGUGUGGAUCCAGCGCACACGUCUGAGAGGAACCGGGAUAUCGACCAGCAGAACGCUGCGAAAAAAUCUAAACUGGACCCUGACCUGAGCAGCAGUGGGUCGUGCGGUGGCGUAUCUCAGCCAGCAGAUGGCAGCAGCAGCACACCAGAGACGCCGAGUGCGGAGGAAGCGACCGCUUCAGUCGUAGGCAGCCUACUGAGUGUGCUCAAGCAGGACGAUCCCUACAUCCUCGAUAUCGACCUGGAUUUCUUCUCCUGUAAGAAUCCCUUCAAGGAUAUGUACACAGAGGAAGAGUACUCCAUCCUGCAGGAGCUGUACAGUUUCGAGAGGCCGCGCGAGGAUGCAGACGAGGAGACGCUGUGUGAGUGUGUGGAGAGACGAACACGGCAGCUCGAGGAUCUGGAGGCAGUGUUCGCUGACCUGCUGGAGGACGACAGCGAGCUCACCCUGGAGCGCUUAGCUGAUAAGCCUGGGAUGAAAUCGCUGGUUAAACUCGUCUGCAGCCUGAAGAGUCGGAACGAAACCCCAGACUACGAAAUGGUCCACCAGGCAGGCCUGACCUGUGAUUACUCAGAGCUUCCUCACCACGUCAGCAGUGAAGCGGAGAUCCAGCAGCUGAUGCUCGCUGUGCGCUUCGUCCUGCAGCCUCUGCCCAAACCCACCCUCAUCACCGUGUCCAGGUCGAGUUUGGAUGAAUAUUGUCCUCCUGAUCAGGUCGACUCCAUUCAGAGCAGCGUGCUGAAGAUUCUGGAAACUCUUUUCGGUUCUUUAGAUGUCCAUAAGGAGUACGAAGAAGCUUCUGGAGAAAGCACAUCUCAGUCCUCAUGAUGAAAAUCAGCUUUAGUGCAGCUUUAUGAUGCACUCUGAGUGAAGCAGCAUGAGUACUUUGGUACACGUCCUUCACUUCCUGGAUCUUGGACCUGGGUGUUUCCCUUAAUGAGAUGAUAGAGGCCACGCCCUUCUCCUCCUUUACUGGGACUGACAGGUCCAGAGGCCAUGCCUCCAUCAUUGACUGAAACCCAAAGGCCAUGCCUUCUUCACUGGGGGCUGAAACCCGAAUGCCAUCCCCUCUUCCUCCUUCAAACGAGACUGAAAAACAGAGGCCACACCCUCUUCUUUCUUCACUGGGGGCUGAAACAAACAGGCCACACCCUCCUCCUCCUUCAUUAGAGACUGAAAACCAGAGGCCACGCCCUCCUCCUUUUUCACUGGGGCUAAAGCAAACAGGCCACACCCUCCUCCUCCUUCUCCUCCUCCUUCACUGGAACUGAUAAGUACAAAAGCACCGCCUUUCUCCUCUUCUACAUUGAUUGAAAGGGUCAGAGGUAACGCCCUCCUCCUCUUCCACUGGGGACUGAGACACAGAGGCCACGCCCUCCUCCUCUUCCACUGGGGACUGAGACACAGAGGCCACGCCCUCCUCCUCUUCCACUGGGGACUGAGACACAGAGGCCACGCCCUCCUCCUCUUCCACUGGGGACUGAGACACAGAGGUAACGCCCUCCUCCUCUUCCACUGGGGACUGAGACACAGAGGCCACGCCCUCCUCCUCUUCCACUGGGGACUGAGACACAGAGGCCACGCCCUCCUCCUCGUCCUCCUUAACUGUCACUGAACAGUUUUUUGACUCGCCGCUCUGUCUUUAAUAUUUAAGAGUUAUACUGUUGAUGUGUAUUUACACAGAGUUUCAGUUUUACUCUUCCGGAAGUCUCUGUGGUCUAAACAUGCCACAGCUAUUGAGUACAAUUAGAAUACAAUUAGCGAAAGCUUUAUUUAAAAUAUCACUUUCUCUCCAUACUCACACAUAGCAUCGCAUACUUUUUUUGGUUAAUCACUUGUAACAUGCUCAUUUCAUCAGAUUGCACACUCAAUUUAGCGUGUUUAUGUGGGUUGUUGUUCAGUCUUUGCUUCAUUUCCACACAUCGAAGUGUUUUAUUAAAAAAAAAAAAACAUCCGCUGUGCUUUCGAUUGGCUCCACAUGAGCCUAAAUGUUCUCCACUUGCCCAAAACCUGAUUUGUUUUUGUUCCUUCAUAUCUUCCUCCAUGCUGGAGUCCUUAAUCUGUACGUGUCCACACUGGUACAUGUGCAGAUUUCUAGGUGUGUGUGUGUAGACAUGACGUUCAGGUCUGGGGAUGAUGAUGUGCUCUCAGUCUAGAUGCUCUGUGAUCAACCCUGUCCUCAGUCCUGUACAAGUCGAUGACACCCAGCCAAGGCCAUGGAUACGGCCAUCCAGACAAAGUUAUGUUACAUCCUGUUGCUUAGCAACUUCAUGGUCAUAUUAUUUCUGCAUGACUCAGAGAUGGGAUGCAACAGGACCAUCAUGACCAAGGUUCUUUUUAUGAACUCACCAUCUGGAUGCCACUGAAAACCACAACUCUGACAUUGACCUUAACUGAGUUAGCUAUCCGGCUAGUUCUAGUGUACUUUUUCCAGGUCAGGGUCUCAAUGGAGUCUAUCCCAGGAAUACUGGGCAUAAGGUGGGAAUACACCCUCAUGGCACCAAGGACACACACACAUAAACAUCUAGAGGAAAUUUUGAGUCCCCAAUCCACCUAACAGAAUACAUUCUGCUUAGCACCAGGAUAUUUUACAACCCAAAACCUGGUUGCCUCUUCCAGGAGGUUAAGACUUUGGCUAUUGAAAACAUCUAAAUUGAUGAAAGCAUCCAAACUUGAGAAUAUAAAGACAUUCUGCAUGAAGGAGGAUCAAAGAUCAUUGCUAGACAUUACAAGAAGAGGCUCAGUGCACUCUGGGGAAAUAUUAAUCGUAAGGGUGCCGAUAAUUUUGGAACCCGUUUUUUGCACUACUUAAGAAAAAUUGUGUUUAAAAAAGUGUUAAAGUAUUAAACCUAUGCUGCAUCCUUAUAUGUUAAAGCCAGUUGCUGGCAGAUUAAUGAGUUUCUCGCUAAAUUUAGCAACAUUUUAGAGUAAUUUAUUUCAAAAUCUAGCGACAUCUUAUUCAGACACUAGCUGCAGUCCUGCACUCGAUACGGCUUUCCAGAACUUUAGCAGGAAGUUCUGUGUUUGUCAGUUACCAUGUGAAGUUCCUGUGAAAUUUCUGUGAACUGAGCACCGAGCUUCAGUUUGUAGUUUCAGCAUCACUGCGAUCUGAAAUUCAACACUCAGUUCACAGGAAUUUAAAAUGUCACAUUCUAGGUGUGUCACAUGACCAAGUUAUUGUUGUUGGAUUAGUCUUUGUCAUCCUCACUAUUGUUUAAAACGAGGUAAGAAAAGGAAAGGAAAUCUUUACACAGUGGCCAGGACGUUACAACUUCUCCUUUCUCUAAGAAAUCAUUUAUAAUCUAUUAUUUAAGUAUCUAAGUGUCUUCAGAGCAUCUAACGUCUUCAUGUGGCACGUUUUGAUAUGCAAAUGAGCAUGACGAUUCGAUGAAUGUUCAAAUUAGUCUGCGACUUCUUGUGACUUUUUGAGCACGCAUUAGCCACUUUCCCUUGAAGAGAGUUGGCUUAAAAUACCACAAAAUGUGCAUGUUAAUUAUUUUAUUCUUUGUUCUUUUUUUUAACAGAUAUGACAGGAACCCCCACAUCUUCUCCUGUAAAUCAGUCACGAUGUAAACAUCAAUCUAAAAGAUUUUCAAGCUUAAUUUAAUACACGUCAUGCAAAGAAAAAGUCUUUGCGUAAACCCACAAUCAGCAGAUCAACACCAAGGCACAGCUAGAUGCUCAUCCGAAAUGAGAAAUAAAUUUGCUUGGCCUUUGCCCUUAGAAAACGCUCUGUGAAUAACAAUGAGCUGUGUAGAGUUUCGGCGCUCUUUUCAUCGUUUUCCCUUUUGCCUCGAAGAAUUUUUCAUCAGCUCUAAUCACAGGCUCAUUUUAGAGCAGGGUAAUGUUAAUGCCAUUUGAUUUCACAGAUAUCUGAUAAACACAUCUCGUUAUCAUCAGGAAAAAGCUGGCAUUCAGCGAGUCUUCUCUCGCUGUUCAGAACAUUCGGUAGGAUUUAUUUAGAAUUUCUUUACACAUUGAUUACACAUGAUUACAACAUGGGAUGGGUGACACUGCAGUACAGAGUAAAAGUGCAAAACCCCUCCUUGCUUUUUUAUAUUAAAAAAAUGAAAAUUUACCUGUUUUAUGGUUUAUCUGAAAAAAAAAAAAAAGAAUUCCAGACUGAAAUUAAAAAUGAAAUGUAGCUGUAUCCUGGAAUAAAAGGAGGUCUUGUGAUGACCUGAUCUGAGGAAAUCCAUGUGUGACAUUUACCAGGAUUAUUGCAGAGAUGUGCACACGUCCGUGAGAUGUCUGAAUAUUACAACUCAGACGAUCGAAAAGCUGUUCAGAGCUAAAAAGGAAAAGCUUGAGACAAAAAAGAAUAUCUACAUUACGUUCAGGAAGGGUUGUAAAUGUUGUAAACUGAUGGCACAUUGGAAUAACACUUUCUGAUUGGUCAGCGCUCGUUCUAAUACGUUGUGUCACUGAUUGUUUUCCCAUAACAGCGCAACAAAGAGUGUUUUAUUCCUUACUUAAAACAUUUAUCCACACUCACAGUUUGUAACAGUUAGGGUUGUAUUUUCUGAUUUUAUUUGUUUAUAUUACAUUUUAGCAUCAGCAUCAUUUUUUUAGAGAGUACCUCUGUCUUGUUUAAUGGCCAGGCGACGGAAGCCGUGCUAACAGCUGGAUACAACUGAAAAAAGCGUAAAUAUGAUUUUGAGGCACGUUUCACACUCAACAUCACUCGCAGGUUCAGUGAUGCGACGCAGUGGUGUAGCUUCACAUCAGUUUCUCUGAACAAGGCUUCAGGUUUUUCUUCCUCUUUAAAGAGCUGAUGCAGGUCGCUGGGUGAGAACAGCAGGUUCUGCUCUGAGUGUAUCGUGUGCAUAAGAGGCUACAGCACGUGUGCGUUUGCAAUGAAUGCCAAUGAUGCACAGGCAGGCUGCUGAUAAAGACCUGGUACACUUCAUCCUCGGCGCACGCCGGAGACAGUCGCGCUCUAAUGGAUGAAUUUUAUUCAAAUCCUGCUCACUUAUGGGCUGUAAUUAAUUGCGUGAGUCGGAUGGGUCGCUCGCAGAUACGGUGAGCUCGUGAAUAUCGUUUCAGCCCACGAGCUGUGUUAUCUUUUACUGCAAUUGAAAUUAGGAUUCAAUUUGUGGGUGUUUGGCCUUAGGCACAGUGACUUCAUUCUAUCUUUUGUCUGUAUUCUCGAAUGCUGAAGAAGAAAAAGUAUAAAAUUCAGUGUGUAAUUACAAUGUAGGCGGCUCAGAACCCUCCAGGCCAUUACAGAACGCUUCUCAAAGCAUUAAAACACCUUCAGUAACAUUAGGUAAGGAAUAAAACACUCCGUGUCAUGCCGUUAUAGGAAACUAAUCAGCGACAGAGUGGCGUGAUGAAUCAGAGUUACUGUUACCACCAAGUGUUUUAUUCCUCUUACACCACAGUGAUUUUAAUAUUUACACCCAGAGACUCAGGAACAUUUAGGAACAUUUGAUUUUAUCAAACAAACGUUAAUUAAUACGUGGGUUAUUUUACAUUUUCUUCCUUAAUAUUUAAUAAACAUUACAACCUAUACAGUGAUUAUGGGUUUUACAUAUUGAUAUAAUGUCCAUGUUAUUACAAUAAUUGAAGUUUGUAACUGUAUAUAUUUCUAUUUAUUGAGUUUAACAUAAACCUGCCAUUAUUUACAUACAGUAUUUACUUUUUGUUGAACUUGAAACAUUUUACUUAAGUGGAAAUUCAGCCCUUAAUUUAAAUACAUUGAUCCAUGAAUUUUUUUCAAUAUACUGAUGAUUUAUUAAUGCUGAAGUUUAUCGUUUAUUAAUGUUAACUAACACAACACCUAAAUUCCACACUACCAAAAUUAUCAGCGCUCUGACUGACUCAAAUAA